AAAUAUGAGCAGGGUUGCACCGGUGAGCAUCGCGUACAUGGCAUCCUCCAGACUGACAGGCGCCGAUUGUAGCCGAUAGCCACAUCUCUGUGGCUACGAUU
rnacentral:sRNA from 1 species